UACCCUUGACAUGCCUGGAAUCCUGCAGAGAUGUGGGAGUGCUCGAAAGAGAGCCAGGACACAGGUGCUGCAUGGCCGUCGUCAGCUCGUGUCGUGAGAUGUUGGGUUAAGUCCCGCAACGAGCGCAACCCUUGUCAUUAGUUGCUACGAAAGGGCACUCUAAUGAGACUGCCGGUGACAAACCGGAGGAAGGUGGGGAUGACGUCAGGUCCUCAUGGCCCUUAUGGG
rnacentral:rRNA from 1 species